CCUACGGGAGGCAGCAGUGAGGAAUAUUGGUCAAUGGGCGCAAGCCUGAACCAGCCAAGUCGCGUGAGGGAUGAAGGUCCUAUGGAUUGUAAACCUCUUUUGUCGGGGAGCAAGGCCUGCCACGUGUUGCGUGAAGGAGCGUACCCGCAGACAAAGCAUCGGCUAACUCCGUGCCAGCAGGCGAGGUAAUACGGAGGAUGCGAGCGUUAUCCGGAUUCAUUGGGUUAAAAGGGUGCGUAGGCGGAAGGUUAAGUCCGUGGUAACAUGUCGGGGCUCAACACCGGCCUGCCGUUGAAACUGGUCGUCUUGAGUGAGCGAGAGGUAUGCGGAAUGCGUGGUGGAGCGGUGAAAUGCAUAGAUAUCACGAAGAACUCCGAGUGCGAAGGCAGCAUACCGGCGCUCAACUGACGCUGAGGCACGAAAGCGUGGGGAUCGAACAGGAUUAGAUACCCUUGUAGUC
rnacentral:rRNA from 1 species